rnacentral:tRNA from 1 species
AAAGGGAGACCUAAUUCCGGUAGGAGACGAAAAAAAAGUAGUCCCUACCAAGAAUCAAUCCCAAAAGGUCGGAACGAGGUAUGAGGCUUUCAAACUAGGUUCUGGGUUCAUAAAAGACCUGAAUCAGGAACAAGGGCUAUUAGCUCAGGUGGUUAGAGCGCACCCCUGAUAAGGGUGAGGUCCCUGGUUCGAGUCCAGGAUGGCCCACCUGCACAGGUGGCAAAAACAAGAGAAGCGAGGAAUCAGCACCUUAUCUUAUCUAUAUAUAUAUAGGAGAGAAUGCUGGCUCUGAGUAAAGAGUCCAGAGGAACCUUGAAAACUGCAUAGAGCUAGGUGAAAAAGCCAAAAAAGAAGACCGCAAG